CUUGGAAACAUAUUACAGCCGUAUUAAUGGAUCCAGGUUUACGUGUUGUGCGUUUAUCGCAUUGCGAAUUCAGAACAGCGCCAAGAGACGUUCGUCUUGUCGUCCGCUCGUUGGAGACAGAUACGAAACUGCUUCAGUCGGGUAAUAUCCGUCGCCUCUGAAGAAAGGUAUCUCCGUCGUGCCGUAAGCCGCGAUAUACGAAAUCGUACAGCAGCAGGGAUCCAAGUUAUAUAUUGCGUCUCCAGUUAUCUGUCUGAACAUUUGUUGUUCUGUAGCACAAGCAAACAGUUAAGCAAAUGCCGAGACAACUUGUCCAGUUAAGGUACGCGUAUAAGUGGAAAACAAAACAAAACAUGAAAAUAUAUAAAAUAAGUAGAUAUACGUAUAAACAACACUGAUAACAUGACUACGAUAACCAACGACAAUUAAGGCAACAAUAGAGAUGGCAACAAUGACGAUAACGAAGAUGAAUAUGACGAUGAUAAUGAUAAUGACAACAGCAAUGACAACGACAACGCCACCAAUAACAACAACAACAAUGAUGUUGGCGAUGUUGAGCGGACAGCGACAAUGACAUCGACGAGAGAUAGGUUGGACUUGUUUUUAUUCCAUCCUUCGCUAGCUUUAUUUCCUGGACGUUUCCUUCUGUCAUCCAGUCACGUUCCCGGAGACACUUGUCUCGACAAAAUGUACGGCCGUGACGGCGGAAUGACGAGGCGAACCUGGCAACGUGUAACGAGAUCGAUCCACUUACUCCACUCGUGUUCUAUUUAAACGGGAAAUAAAAGAAUCUCUGGACGAAACACGAGACCAUACAAGCAAGGACAUGUGAAUCUUUGUAAUAAAAAAUAUGAAAUAAUAGAGAUUGUGUUUCGGUUAUA